AAAGGUAAGCUACUAAGAGCGAAUGGUGGAUGCCUUGACUGGUAAAGGCGAUGAAGGACGUACUAGACUGCGAUAAGCUACGGGGAGCUGUCAAGAAGCUUUGAUCCGUAGAUUUCCGAAUGGGGCAACCCAGUAUAUAGAGAUAUAUACUACCAUAAUGGAGCGAACGAGGGGAAUUGAAACAUCUUAGUACCCUCAGG
rnacentral:rRNA from 1 species